GAGACGCGAAAGCGUGGGGAGCAAACAGGAUUAGAUACCCUGGUAGUCCACGCUGUAAACGAUGAGCGCUAGUGUUGCGGGUGUUGACCCCUGCAGUGCCGAAGCUAACGCAUUAAGCGCUCCGCCUGGGAAGUACGGCCGCAAGGCUAAAACUCAAAGGAAUUGAGGGGCCCGCACAAGCGGUGGAGCAUGUGGUUUAUUCGACGCAACGCGCAGAACCUUACCUGGCUUGACAUCCUAGGAACUCGCCGAAUGGGUGGGGGCCCGCAAGGGAACGACGUGCUGCAUGGCUGUCCAGCCCAGAUUCCCAACCCCCUCAGGGGAAGGGAC
rnacentral:rRNA from 1 species